rnacentral:rRNA from 1 species
GGAUGCGAUCAUACCAGCACUAAAGCACCGGAUCCCAUCAGAACUCCGAAGUUAAGCGUGCAUAUGUUUAGCACGUUUUACUAUUUUGCACGUUUACGGUAAGAGUUUUAGCUCGCUGCUC